rfam:Dipodomys ordii contig_17216, whole genome shotgun sequence.
GGGAAUGUGGCUCAGUGGUAGAGUGCUUGCCUAGCAUGCAUGAAGCCCUGAGAUCGAUUCCUCAGUGCCA